rnacentral:lncRNA from 1 species
AUAGUGGGGUAGGCGAUAGUGAUGUAAACGUAGAUGAUGAUGUAUCUGGGCAUGUAAAUCCUUUAAGGAUAGCCUUUUAUCCCGUAGUGUUGGUAUUUGUGACAUGCUGUAAUGUGUUUUUCUUUUAAUGAAAUUUUUGUUUUGCGUUCAUACUCGAACUGUUCUUUCUUUAUCAUAGAUGAAGUACUUAGAUUGCUUGCUCCGUAACUUUUCCCGAGGGAUCUGCUGUAUUGCUUUCUCCUUCUUGC